UACGUAGGGGGCAAGCGUUGUCCGGAUUUAUUGGGCGUAAAGAGCGUGUAGGCGGCUUGACAGGUCUGCUGUGAAAACUCGAGGCUCAACCUCGAGAUGUCGGCGGAAACCGUCUGGCUAGAGUCCGGAAGAGGAGAGUGGAAUUCCUGGUGUAGCGGUGAAAUGCGCAGAUAUCAGGAAGAACACCUAUGGCGAAGGCAGCUCUCUGGGACGGUACUGACGCUGAGGCGCGAAAGCGUGGGGAGCAAACAGG
rnacentral:rRNA from 1 species